rnacentral:rRNA from 1 species
UACGAAGGGUGCUAGCGUUGUUCGGAAUUACUGGGCGUAAAGCGCGCGUAGGCUGUUUGACAAGUCAGAGGUGAAAUCCUUGGGCUCAACCCAAGAAUUGCCUUUGAAACUGUCAGACUAGAGUGUCGGAGGGGAUAGCGGAAUUCCUAAUGUAGAGGUGAAAUUCGUAGAUAUUAGGAGGAACACCGGUGGCGAAGGCGGCUAUCUGGACGACAACUGACGCUGAGGCGCGAAAGCACGGGGAUCAAACAGG